AAAUUGAAGAGUUUGAUCAUGGCUCAGAUUGAACGCUGGCGGCAGGCCUAACACAUGCAAGUCGAACGGUAACAGGAAGAAGCUUGCUUCUUUGCUGACGAGUGGCGGACGGGUGAGUAAUGUCUGGGAAACUGCCUGAUGGAGGGGGAUAACUACUGGAAACGGUAGCUAAUACCGCA
rnacentral:rRNA from 1 species